CCAGCCCGCAGUGCCGCUGUGUCUACCCGCGGCCCACCCUCAUUUCGGCAGAUUUUUUGGCAGCGGCGCGAUGUCCGAGCGCGGCUCUGGAGCGUGCGGCUGGACCGCAGCCUCCAGCGCCCCUCGCGCGCGCCAGUCUCUCGGACACGGAGGACGAGGCGUCGCCGACGAGCUCUGGAAGAGGAUACGAUUUAGUUUCUUUUACUAAAAAAAAUAUAGAUGAAAGAGUAAAGAGUUAAAUUAUUUUAAUGAAAGAAACGGCGUUUUUCUGAGAAAAAAGUGACAAAAAGUGGAUUUAUGUGCCUUACUAUUGGAUAUUUUGGAUUACCCUUGAAAAGAUGCAGUUACGGGACUAUGCAGAACUCUGCUACCUCACACAUUAGGUGACCGCGCGACCGAGGGCCGCGGGCCGGACGUGCGGCAGGCGCGAGGACACCGCCGAGGACAUCGCCGAGGGUCAUCGCUGAGGACACCGACCAGGGCCAUGCACAUCACCUAGGACACCGAUCAGGGUGUUCUCAAAUGGAAGCGGGGCCGCGCAGGACGUGGCCAAGACACCACAGCCCAGGCACAGCGGACACACCCAGGACACCCCCAGGACACCCCCAGGACACCCCCAGGACACCUCCUAGGACACCGACCGGGACAAAGGGGCAGGACGUCGUUGCCGUUGUCGCUCUGGCAGAGUGAAGGUGCUGAGCAAUAGGCAGGUGCAAACGCCAACCUGUUUGUUCGAGAGCCUCCUCGGUGACUGCAACCCAUCAGACAUUUCAACAAAGUUUCACAGGCUGCAGUCCUAGGGUGAACUACUAUCUGCAAGGUGGACUAUCAGCUUUAUUGGUGCAGCUACGUGAAUGUCUCUCCUAAGUACUUUAAAUCCGAAUGUACUUAAGAAAAUGAUUGUACCAACAUUAUGCUGUGAAUAAUUAAAUAAAUGUUUUAGAAAGGUU